UCUCUGAAGAAGUCACAGAUGAUCAGUUGGAAGCAAUGGCUGGUGGAGAGCUGGUCAGACAAGAGGGCAGCAACUUUUCUCAAAUUCGGAACACA
rnacentral:sRNA from 1 species